GCGGGGUUAGUUCAGUGGUAGAACACCGGACUGUGGCUCCGGUUGCCGAGGGUUCGAAUCCCUCACCCCGCCCCA
rnacentral:tRNA from 1 species